rnacentral:rRNA from 1 species
UACGUAGGUGGCAAGCGUUGUCCGGAAUUACUGGGCGUAAAGGGAGCGUAGGCGGGGAUGCAAGUCAAAUGUUAAAACUAUCGGCUCAACUGGUAAGUGCGUUUGAAACUGCAUUUCUUGAGUGAAGUAGAGGCAGGCGGAAUUCCUAGUGUAGCGGUGAAAUGCGUAGAUAUUAGGAGGAACACCAGUGGCGAAGGCGGCCUGCUGGGCUUUUACUGACGCUGAGGCUCGAAAGUGUGGGGAGCAAACA